AUGUAAAGCCCAACCUUGUCACAUCUCAGAAGCUAAGCAGGGUUGGGCCUUGUUAGUACUUUGAUGGGACACUGCUGAGAAAUUAGGUGACAUG
rnacentral:rRNA from 1 species